rnacentral:rRNA from 1 species
GAUUAAGUUAUUAAGGGCGCACGGUGGAUGCCUUGGCACUAGAAGCCGAUGAAGGACGUUACUAACGACGAUAUGCUUUGGGUAGCUGUAAGUAAGCGUUGAUCCAGAGAUUUCCGAAUGGGGGAACCCAGCAUGAGUUAUGUCAUGUUAUCGACAUGUGAAUUCAUAGCAUGUCAGAAGGCAGACCCGGAGAACUGAAACAUCUUAGUACCCGGAGGAAGAGAAAGAAAAAUCGAUUCCCUGAGUAGCGGCGAGCGAAACGGGAAGAGCCCAAACCAACAAGCUUGCUUGUUGGGGUUGUAGGACACUCUAUACGGAGUUACAAAAGAACAUGUUAGACGAAUCAUCUGGAAAGAUGAAUCAAAGAAGGUAAUAAUCCUGUAGUCGAAAACAUAUUCUCUCUUGAGUGGAUCCUGAGUACGACGGAGCACGUGAAAUUCCGUCGGAAUCUGGGAGGACCAUCUCCUAAGGCUAAAUACUCUCUAGUGACCGAUAGUGAACCAGUACCGUGAGGGAAAGGUGAAAAGUACCCCGGAAGGGGAGUGAAAGAGAACUUGAAACCGUGUGCUUACAAGUAGUCAGAGCCCGUUAAUGGGUGAUGGCGUGCCUUUUGUAGAAUGAACCGGCGAGUUACGAUCUGAUGCAAGGUUAAGCAGCAAAUGUGGAGCCGCAGCGAAAGCGAGUCUGAAUAGGGCGUUGAGUAUUUGGUCGUAGACCCGAAACCAGGUGAUCUACCCUUGGUCAGGUUGAAGUUCAGGUAACACUGAAUGGAGGACCGAACCGACUUACGUUGAAAAGUGAGCGGAUGAACUGAGGGUAGCGGAGAAAUUCCAAUCGAACUUGGAGAUAGCUGGUUCUCUCCGAAAUAGCUUUAGGGCUAGCCUCAAGUGAUGAUUAUUGGAGGUAGAGCACUGUUUGGACGAGGGGCCCCUCUCGGGUUACCGAAUUCAGACAAACUCCGAAUGCCAAUUAAUUUAACUUGGGAGUCAGAACAUGGGUGAUAAGGUCCGUGUUCGAAAGGGAAACAGCCCAGACCACCAGCUAAGGUCCCAAAAUAUAUGUUAAGUGGAAAAGGAUGUGGCGUUGCCCAGACAACUAGGAUGUUGGCUUAGAAGCAGCCAUCAUUUAAAGAGUGCGUAAUAGCUCACUAGUCGAGUGACACUGCGCCGAAAAUGUACCGGGGCUAAACAUAUUACCGAAGCUGUGGAUUGUCCUUUGGACAAUGGUAGGAGAGCGUUCUAAGGGCGUCGAAGCAUGAUCGCAAGGACAUGUGGAGCGCUUAGAAGUGAGAAUGCCGGUGUGAGUAGCGAAAGACGGGUGAGAAUCCCGUCCACCGAUUGACUAAGGUUUCCAGAGGAAGGCUCGUCCGCUCUGGGUUAGUCGGGUCCUAAGCUGAGGCCGACAGGCGUAGGCGAUGGAUAACAGGUUGAUAUUCCUGUACCACCUAGUAUCGUUUUAAUUGAUGGGGGGACGCAGUAGGAUAGGCGAAGCGUGCUGUUGGAGUGCACGUCCAAGCAGUAAGGCUGAGUGUUAGGCAAAUCCGGCACUCAUAAGGCUGAGCUGUGAUGGGGAGAGGAAAUUGUUUCCUCGAGUCGUUGAUUUCACACUGCCGAGAAAAGCCUCUAGAUAGAUAACAGGUGCCCGUACCGCAAACCGACACAGGUAGUCAAGAUGAGAAUUCUAAGGUGAGCGAGCGAACUCUCGUUAAGGAACUCGGCAAAAUGACCCCGUAACUUCGGGAGAAGGGGUGCUCUUUAGGGUUCACGCCCAGAAGAGCCGCAGUGAAUAGGCCCAAGCGACUGUUUAUCAAAAACACAGGUCUCUGCUAAACCGUAAGGUGAUGUAUAGGGGCUGACGCCUGCCCGGUGCUGGAAGGUUAAGAGGAGUGGUUAGCUUCUGCGAAGCUACGAAUCGAAGCCCCAGUAAACGGCGGCCGUAACUAUAACGGUCCUAAGGUAGCGAAAUUCCUUGUCGGGUAAGUUCCGACCCGCACGAAAGGCGUAACGAUUUGGGCACUGUCUCAACGAGAGACUCGGUGAAAUGGCGUAACGAUUUGGGCACUGUCUCAACGAGAGACUCGGUGAAAUCAUAGUACCUGUGAAGAUGCAGGUUACCCGCGACAGGACGGAAAGACCCCGUGGAGCUUUACUGUAGCCUGAUAUUGAAAUUCGGCACAGCUUGUACAGGAUAGGUAGGAGCCUUUGAAACGUGAGCGCUAGCUUACGUGGAGGCGUUGGUGGGAUACUACCCUAGCUGUGUUGGCUUUCUAACCCGCACCACUUAUCGUGGUGGGAGACAGUGUCAGGCGGGCAGUUUGACUGGGGCGGUCGCCUCCUAAAAGGUAACGGAGGCGCUCAAAGGUUCCCUCAGAAUGGUUGGAAAUCAUUCAUAGAGUGUAAAGGCAUAAGGGAGCUUGACUGCGAGACCUACAAGUCGAGCAGGGUCGAAAGACGGACUUAGUGAUCCGGUGGUUCCGCAUGGAAGGGCCAUCGCUCAACGGAUAAAAGCUACCCCGGGGAUAACAGGCUUAUCUCCCCCAAGAGUUCACAUCGACGGGGAGGUUUGGCACCUCGAUGUCGGCUCAUCGCAUCCUGGGGCUGUAGUCGGUCCCAAGGGUUGGGCUGUUCGCCCAUUAAAGCGGUACGCGAGCUGGGUUCAGAACGUCGUGAGACAGUUCGGUCCCUAUCCGUCGUGGGCGUAGGAAAUUUGAGAGGAGCUGUCCUUAGUACGAGAGGACCGGGAUGGACAUACCUCUGGUGUACCAGUUGUCGUGCCAACGGCAUAGCUGGGUAGCUAUGUAUGGACGGGAUAAGUGCUGAAAGCAUCUAAGCAUGAAGCCCCCCUCAAGAUGAGAUUUCCCAACUUCGGUUAUAAGAUCCCUCGAAGAUGACGAGGUUAAUAGGUUCGAGGUGGAAGCGUGGUGACACGUGGAGCUGACGAAUACUAAUCGAUCGAAGACUUAAUCAA